GACGAACGCUGGCGGCGUGCCUAAUACAUGCAAGUAGAACGCUGAAGCUUGGUGCUUGCCCCGAGCGGAUGAGUUGCGCACGGGUGAGUAACGCGUAGGUAACCUGCCUGGUAGCGGGGGAUAACUAUUGGAAACGAUAGCUAAUACCGCAUAAGAGUAGAUGUUGCAUGACAUUUGCUUAAAAGGUGCAAUUGCAUCACUACCAGCUGGACCUGCGUUGUAUUAGCUAGUUGGUGAGGUAACGGCUCACCAAGGCAACGAUACAUAGCCGACCUGAGAGGGGGAUCAGCCACACUGGAACUGAGACACGGCCCAGACUCCUACGGGAGGCAGCAGUGGGGAAUUUUGGACAAUGGGCGAAAGCCUGACCAAGCAAGCCCGCGUGGGUGAAGAAGGUUUCGGGUCGUAAAGGUCUGUUUUAAGGGAAGAAAGAGUGUGAGAGUGGAAAGUUCACACUGUGACGGUAUCUAACCAGAAAGGAACGGCUAACUACGUG
rnacentral:rRNA from 1 species